rnacentral:pre_miRNA from 1 species
ACAAUAGAAGGAUUCUGUAUUAACGGUGGACAUGAUUUAUCUCGUUUUUAAAGAUAUCUUUGCAUUUCAUAUGAGAUUUAAAGUUUUUAUUGGUAAUAUAAAUCUCACAUGAAAUUUAAAUUUAUAUUUUAAAGUUAAGAUAAAGUCAUGUCACCGUUAAUACAGAAUCCUUCAAUUAUAUUUAGUCAGGGG